GACGUAGGGCGCGAGCGUUGUCCGGAUUUAUUGGGCGUAAAGAGCUCGUAGGCGGCUUGUCGCGUCGACUGUGAAAUCCCGCGGCUCAACUGCGGGUCUGCAGUCGAUACGGGCAGGCUAGAGUUCGGUAGGGGAGACUGGAAUUCCUGGUGUAGCGGUGAAAUGUGCAGAUAUCAGGAGGAACACCGGUGGCGAAGGCGGGUCUCUGGGCCGAUACUGACGCU
rnacentral:rRNA from 1 species